rnacentral:rRNA from 1 species
AACGAACGCUGGCGGCGCGCCUAAUACAUGCAAGUCGAGCGAGAAGACGUAGCGAUACGUUUGUAAAGCGGCGAACGGGUGAGGAAUACAUGGGUAACCUACCCUCGAGUGGGGAAUAACUAGCCGAAAGGUUAGCUAAUACCGCGUACGCUCCUUGGACUUCGGUUCAGGGAGGAAAGCGAUACCGUGGGUAUCGCGCUCUUGGAUGGGCUCAUGUCCUAUCAGCUUGUUGGUGAGGUAACGGCUCACCAAGGCUUCGACGGGUAGCUGGUCUGAGAGGACGAUCAGCCACACUGGCACUGCGACACGGGCCAGACUCCUACGGGAGGCAGCAGUAAGGAAUAUUGCGCAAUGGGCGAAAGCCUGACGCAGCGACGCCGCGUGGGGGAUGAAGGUCUUCGGAUUGUAAACCCCUUUCGGGAGGGAAGAUGGAAUGGGGUAACCCAUUCGGACGGUACCUCCAGAAGCAGCCACGGCUAACUUCGUGCCAGCCGCCGCAGUAAAAC